CCAGGAGACACCCUAUAGACACCCGGAGAGGAGACUGCUGACAUCAGUCACGUACAGGGCAGAUGGGAAGUGUGAUACCGCACACACAGCUAUUGCACCGGGCGCUGGAUAACGUCAUCAGUAGGCGUCUUCAUACUGGAUUCGCAGCACCUGCACGUGGUGAUGGUGAUGCUUUAUAAGGGUGGCCCGGACGGUCACAUGAUGCAAGGGUUCUCGCCAACUCCGAUCUUUACAGUAUUGCUGAGGACAAGCUUGGUGGAUGACUUUUCCCUUGAGAGAAAUCGGUGAUCGUACAUGGUGUGGACAUCCCGGUCCACCUCAUUGGUGAUGCAGCAUACCCAUUACAGCGCUGGCUAAUGAAGGGCUACACCCAGCAUGUUCACUUAUCCCCCGAACAGACAUCAUAUACCCAUGCCCCAAGUUCGGCCCGUAUGGCAGUGGAGAAUGCGUUUGGGCGUUUAAAAGGACGCUGGCACUGCCUCAUGAAGAGGAAUGAUGUGGACUUGAAAAUAAUGCCAGAUAUUGUAGCAGCCUGCUGCAUUCUCCAUAACAUAUGUGAGAUUCAAAAGGAAAACUUUCUCCCCGAGUGGAAUGUACAUGAUCAUGGGGCGGGGGUCACUGUACAUGAUGCACUAGGCUUGGUGGGGGGGCAUAACGCUGCCAGCGAGUGCAUAAGGGCCACCAUUGCAGCUAAUCUUCAAACAAUGUUGCAGUAGAGAAGACAGACAAGUUUUUGUGUGCAAACAAUUUUUGUUUAUUUCGUUUUUCAGUUAUAAAAAUUUGGUUCAAAAGUUAUGUUAUU